UGCAGUCGAACGGAAAGGCCUUUUCGGAGGUACUCGAGUGGCGAACGGGUGAGUAACACGUGGGUGAUCUGCCCUGCACUCUGGGAUAAGCCUGGGAAACUGGGUCUAAUACCGGAUAGGACCGCACUUUAGUGUGUGUGGUGGAAAGUUUUUUCGGUGUANGAUGAGCCCGCGGCCUAUCAGCUUGUUGGUGGGGUAAUGGCCUACCAAGGCGGCGACGGGUAGCCGGACUGAGAGGUUGGUCGGCCACAUUGGGACUGAGAUACGGCCCAGACUCCUACGGGAGGCAGCAGUGGGGAAUAUUGCACAAUGGGCGCAAGCCUGAUGCAGCGACGCCGCGUGGGGGAUGACGGCCUUCGGGUUGUAAACUCCUUUCGCCAGGGACGAAGCGUUUUGUGACGGUACCUGGAGAAGAAGCACCGGCUAACUACGUGCCANCAGCCGCGGUAAUACGUAGGGUGCAAGCGUUGUCCGGAAUUACUGGGCGUAAAGAGCUCGUAGGUGGUUUGUCACGUCGUCUGUGAAAUUCCACAGCUUAACUGUGGGCGUGCAGGCGAUACGGGCUGACUUGAGUACUGUAGGGGUAACUGGAAUUCCUGGUGUAGCGGUGAAAUGCGCANAUAUCANGAGGAACACCGAUGGCNAANGCAGGUUACUGGGCAGUUACUGACGCUGAGGAGCGAAAGCAUGGGUAGCAAACAGGAUUAGAUACCCUGGUAGUCCAUGCCGUAAACGGUGGGCGCUAGGUGUAG
rnacentral:rRNA from 2 species